GACGAACCGUGCGAACGUUAUUCGGAAUCACUGGGCUUAAAGCGCGUGUAGGCGGGCCGGCACGUCAAUGGCUGAAAUCCCCCGGCUUAACCGGGGAACAGGCCUCGAUACGACCGGCCUCGAGGGGGGUAGGGGGCGCCGGAACUUCCGGUGGAGCGGUGAAAUGCGUUGAGAUCGGAAGGAACGCCCGUGGCGAAAGCGGGCGCCUGGACCCCACCUGACGCUGAGACGCGAAAGCUAGGGGAGCGAACGGG
rnacentral:rRNA from 1 species